rnacentral:rRNA from 1 species
UACGGAGGAUCCAAGCGUUAUCCGGAAUUACUGGGCGUAAAGAGUUGCGUAGGUGGCAUAGUAAGCGUGCAGUGAAAGCGUGUGGCUCAACCAUACUCACAUUGUAUGAACUGCUAAGCUAGAGUAUAAGAGAGGUAGCUGGAAUUUCUAGUGUAGGAGUGAAAUCCGUAGAUAUUAGAAGGAACACCGAUGGCGUAGGCAGGCUACUGGCUUAUUACUGACACUAAGGCACGAAAGCGUGGGGAGCGAACAGG